CCUCAGCCGUCCCUCGGUUACAGUCCUGUGAAUGGGUGGAUGAAUGAGUGUCUGCCUAGGAAUCUGAGUGUAAGUUCUCAGCUUUAACACUGAGAGACCUUGCUCUAGCUCCAGUCCAGUUCGGGGGACUCAUUUUCUGUGAAAUGGAACCAGUCUUUUCACGCUCCGUCUUCCAGUGUCCAUCCAGGGUGUCUUGGGACAGCCAAAUGAACGCGCAAGUUCAGAACGAGCCUUUUUCUGCGGCCAGAGAGCUUGCUCUCUGCCUUGGGCUGUAGGCCUUGCUAGCUGCCUAUCAGCUGAGUAGAGUCUGGCUCCCAGCCCCAGCGGGGGCUCAGAAGGGGUGCUGCUGCAGCGUUGUGCAGAGUGAGAAGGGUGGCCCCACAGAGCUGUGUGACUGAGCCUCUCUGCAGCCUCCCGGGCCUUUCACAUAGGAGACACAAAGGCGCCUUGUCUAACCUCUGCUGGCCGUGGGAGUUGGUGCAGGCAGCUUCCAGACCCAGAUGUCUCCAAAGCCACCCUUGCUUUAGGGUCCUAGUGUGAGGGAAGUCUUUCUGGUUAUUGAAACCCCCACUGAUUUCCUUUCCCUAAUCUCCCUUUUGAGCCACCGAGCCUUCUGAGGUUACUGCUGCUUGCUCCAGGACCCAGGAUUGGUCCUAACCUCUAGAAGACCCACAGGAUGGCCAGUGGCCAGUCUUGGACUUUGCACUUGCUGUGGUCCAAUUCCUCUACUUCCAGCCAAAGAAACUACAUUCCAGAGUGCGUUAAACACUCCUCACCUGCUGUUCUGACUAAAUUGUCUGGAUUUAGCUGACGAUCUACCCACCAUCCCGAGCUUCCUGGGUCUGAGGAGUGAGUAUCCCCUCUCAGAAAAGCCUGGGAGGCUAGGUUCCCUGAUGCUUUCCUCGACAAAUUAAUAGUCAGAUUUUAUAGCCCACCAAAUCCAGCAGAUUCCCCAUCCCCAGUGCUGUUCCCCACCCCACCCCACUCCAACUUGAGCACCUUUGCUUUCAUAUUUUUACUUACUCACAACUUGAGAUUUUGUGACUGAAAGGCUUGAAAACCUAUAUUGAUCCAGCCAGGAAAUGGAAGCCCAGUGAGUCACAGUAAGUAUCCUAUGAAGGGGAGAAUGGCACUGAGGGCAUCUCCCUGAACUUCGCAGCCAAAGCAGGCUAAU
rnacentral:lncRNA from 1 species